UCUCGGGUCGUCCAAUGGCAGGACAGCGGCCUUUGGAGCCGUCAAUCGUGGUUCGAAUCCACGCCCGAGAG
rnacentral:tRNA from 1 species